GUCCCCUUUUUUUCCUUUAUAAUCUCUCUUCUCAUUUAUCUUUUCAAAUGGCUAGGGUUUCUUCUCUCUGGAUCUUCAGUGCGAUUCAACAAAAACUCAGUGUUUUCUUUGUAGAUCCAACAUAAAUUUCUUCCUCUCUCAAUCUCAAACGUCUGACAAGGUAUCUUUAUUAGGCAUCUUCAUCAUCAACACCGUUUCUACACAGGGUUUAGAUUCAGCGAUUUCUAUAUUCUCUCCAUUCAACGAUCUCUUCUUCAUCAAUCCUCUCUGGAUACUCAACAACUAAGAUCCAGAUGUGUCUUUGCUCGAAUCUUGGUGUGACCAGUCAGAUGGUUAAAACUUCCCAAGAAUCCGUUCAAAAUACUAAAGAGUUUGAUAUAUGGUCUGGGUUAUUAAAAUGAAACAUUGGAGAUUUGAGGAAGUUUGGGGGUUUGAGAAGCUAGGGUUUAUGGUUUUGGUUGGAAUGUUGUGUUUGGGUGUGCUUCUUUUUUGGGUAAAUUGAUCAUCGAUUUGGGUUUUUUGUUGAGUUAAGUUUUGAUAUUAUUGAUUAAUUCGUUGCGUUUUUUGUUUAUUGUUGAUCUGUUAGUUCGUUCCUGAGUGGAUAAUAUUGUAAGCUUGUGGGAUAGGGAUAUUUUAUAGGCGUUUUGACAGAAUGAUAUACAUGGAAGGAUGUGGGUACAAAGAUGAACUGUAUCAAAUUCAUAUGAAAUUUUUAAAAGUGGAAGUUCUUUACUUUGAGUUUUAUGAUUAUGGCAAUAAGUACUUUUUUAGCUAAAAAAGAUGGACAAAAAACUGUAUGUUACUUUGCUGUAUAUCGUUUGUGUAUAAUAGAUUAAUAUUAUAGGAUUAUUAUUAAUGUUAUUAACCAUGUGUAUCCAAAAUAUGACUUACAAAUCAUGCCGCCCAGACUUGUUAAUUAGGUGAACAAAUGCCAAUUUACAAAUCUUACACGGUUUUUAAUGCAAGUUAGAAUUGCAUUAUUAAUAAAUCGUUCACAGCUAAGAAACCGUCGGUCAAACCCAUGUUUUAGUAGAUCCCGACCGUAAUAAUUCAGGCGGUUAUCUUCAAGAUUUAAUCUCAUCCGUUCAAACCCAAAAAACAGUUUUUUUUUUCAACGCCAGUUAAAGUUUCCUGUGUUUUCUGCAUGUUUUUCGCUACGUGGGUACGCUCCCUCAACCGUUGCCCUACAAUUAUACAUAUACACUCGCUUCCUCAUUCACUUUCAAAUCAUCUUCUUCCUCUCUCUAAAAUUUCUCUGAUUCAACUGGUGUUUUGCAGAUGUUUCUCUCAUAUGCUCCUUCAUUUUCAUAAACCUAUCGCCACCAUCUGCAAAUCCUCCUCCAACUACAACCUUCACCCUAAUUUCUAUCCAGAACAUCAUCAAUUUGAUUAUCAUCGACUUUUGGCAGUGUAAAAUCCGGAGGGCUCGUGGCAGAAACUGAUGUUUUUACCAUGAAGCAACCGUGAUUUUGCAGCCACCCCUGCUCUAAUUGUGUAUGGUUGAAGGUUGUGUUGAAAGGCUAUAGGGAAAUCAAUUUUGGGAACGAAUGUUACUUCUAAUCACUGCACUAAGUCGGCAAUUCAAAGUUCUGAUAUGUCUUCUUUGUUCGAUCACCUCACACAAGAAAUCCUCUUCUCAAAUCCAGAAUCAUUCAAUAUCCUCUCUUAGUUCUCUCAAAAAAAAUCAGGGCUCUGAUUUUGGGGGUUUUUGGUGGUAUAGUCGGCUGUCAUAGAAACGAAAUUGGGGGUUCUUGGUGGUAUAUCGGCUGUCAUGGAACGAAAUCAUGGGAGAAGAAGGCGUGUAUCGGGAAGCAUACUCAUUUGAAGGCAUUCACUGUCAAUCAGGAAGCAUACAGCCCAUUAAAGGCAUAUGAAAGGUCAAGGUAACACCAAGUAGCAAGUAACGUUAGUACUCUUACAUGUUUAUAGGAUAUGGAAUUUAAAUAGUAAAAUCCUUUUUACGAAAGUGGAAUGUGCAUGAUGAAAAGAAUACAAGUUUGCAGAUGGAACAGCUUGAUGAUAUACAAUGUUUUAGCCUAUAUGAAGUAGCCAGGGCCACAGGUAACUUCAGUGUCUCCAAUAAGAUUGGACAAGGUGGCUUUGGUCCGGUUUACAAGGGUGUGUUGAAGGAUGGAAGACAAAUAGCUGUCAAGCGACUCUCAGAAACAUCUCAACAAGGGCUUCAUGAGUUCAAGAAUGAAGUCAUCUGUAAUGUAUUGCAAAACUUCAGCAUCGGAAUCUUGUGAAGCUUCUUGGAUAUUGCAUUCAUCAAAAUGAACUGAUUUUGAUUUGUGAGUACAUGACUAAGAAAAGCUUGGACUGGUUUCUAUUUGAUGAAACCAGAAGCUUGAUGCUUAACUGGCCUCAACGUUUCAAUAUAAUAGAAGGAAAAAUAGUAAUGGACAUCUCAGCCCCACUGGUUUCGCUUUGGAUUAUUAGCUUGUAGAUUUUAGAAUUUGUUUUAGAUCAUUGUGUUUUUUUUCGUCAUUGUGGUUUUUUUCGUCAUUGUGUCUUUUUGCAAUUCAUUGUGUCUUUUUUUCACCAGCAUUGUGCUAUAUUUCUCGGCAUUGUGUUAUAUUUUGCGAUCUAUUGUGUCUUUUUUCCUCGGCGUUGUGUUAUAUUGCUCGACAUUGUGUUAUAGUUUGCAAUUCAUUGUGUCUUUUUUCCUCGGCGUUGUGUUAUAUUUCUCGGUAUUGUGUUAUAUUGCUUGACAUUAUGUUAUUUUCUCGCCUUUUUUCC